ensembl:lncRNA
AAAAGGGAUGUUGGUGCAAUGCUGAGGGGCCCCGGAAGGUAGAGCCUUCAGCAGAAGGCGUCCUACUUGGGAGACCAGAGGGUGGGAGUGGCUGCCUUCACCCAGAGGAAGGUCAAGGCCACCCUCCCUAAACACAGCUUUCUUAUUUUUGGUUAUUUUGCUAUCUUUCUCUUGUCAUUUCGACUGCAUCUGUGUAUUUUUGCAUGUUAAACAUUUAUAUUUUUUUAAUUUUUACUUUAUUUUCUUUACAAUACUGUAUUGGUUUGCCAUACAUUGACAUGAAUCCGCCACGGGUGUACAUGAGUUCCCAAUCCUGAACCCCCCCUCCCACCUCCCAUAAACAUUUAAAACUUACCACAAAUAUCUGAAGCAUGUCUUGCCAUUUCAUGUAACAUCAGCACUGCACAAUAGCAAGUACUGCCCAAGGCCAGAGGUUAACAUUUCCUCCAGAAACUUAAGUACACAAAGAGGUUAGCCCUGGCCACGGCCACAACCAGUAAGACAAACCAAGGGCAGCCAACAGAGUGAAGUGGGGGUGAGGAACCCUUCUGUUAACACAGGCCAUUUACAAAGUUCUCAGGGUGUCCAGUCUGGGCCCACAAAGGAGCCUCAACCAACACUUCCUCUUCGGCUAUUUCUUUUUGAAAGAACUUCCAAAUUCACCUCUUGCUAUUUUUAUACCCCAUUACAUUUAGCUGCACCAGAUCUCCACUUUCCACCUAAAUGCUACAAGCCCACUCCCUGAAUUUCAUUGUACCAUCCACUGCCUCUCAGAGUUCAGACGGAAGGCUGAAUUCAGAUCUAUGUAUGAGGAUGCAAACCGAUCAGCAGUGAUCACCAACACCAUCAACGAUACCUUUGACAUAUCCCACCUGACCUGUGAACAGAGGAUAAAGAACAGGCAGGGCCCUGGGACAAGGCAGAAGCCAGGAGGGCGUGGGUACAGCCUCCAGCUGCCUGCUCUGCUCCUGAACCAUCAGGCCCACUUCACAGUCCCCUUUUCAACGACAUUUACACCCCCGUGGAGAAACUCUUCAUCAGCCCACCAAUCGCUAGGUAACAGUACCCAGAGACACUCAUAGCAGCUACCCUGAGUUUGGUAAUCACUGUAUAAAAACAAAAGGAAAAAUAAGUUCCAAAAAAAGGCAAGGCAGGCAGAAAAGAACUGAGCAAAAACAAGAAGGGCAAGGUAGGAAAGGAAGCCUAGAUUGUUCUGGGGAAAUCAAGAACAGGGUGCUGAGCAGGGGAAAAAUCCUUGAACCUGCACAGCUGUGAGCCUCAGGACAGGCGGGCACCUAAUUCCAGUCUCUGCAGGGGCCACACCCAGCUGCUCUCCCAGCCCCUCACUGUGGUCACAGAACAGCCUGUCCCUGUCCCCUUCCCACUCCCUUGGACAUAAAAGCCGCCUCAGCAGAGGCGGGUGGUGGUUUCUAUUCUAAGUUCAUCUCCUGUAAAGCAAAACCUUAGGGCCCCAAUGAACACAGAACAGCAGCACAAAAACGAGCUCCCAGCAUCACUGCUGGGCUCUCCCCGCCCAGGACACAGGGGCAGCUUAGACACAACACACACCCUGGAUUCCAAAUUGCUUAGCACAGCACUUAUGCAAUUAGUAAAAUGAGAAGUAUGUGCUUAAACCCAAAUCCUAGACACAUUCCAGCCUCCCAAAGACCACAAGUAUGUCAAACGUAUAUUACAUGUUCUUUCCAUUUGUUAGGCUGCUCACAGUCAUCAAGAGAGAUCCCCUUUUUAACAAACGAUUUGGAAAUAUAAUUCGGUAAAAUUCCAAGAAGUUAGGAAAUAGUCUCCCCACCCUGACAAUGACCUUCGUUGGCUUGUGGUUUGUCACCACAUUUUGCACAACCAUCACACACUCCCAGUCAGCAGAGUCCAUCCCCAACUGCCACUGGGGACGCAGGCCAUUCAGGACCUACCAGUUCUGUUGAGGUUACCAUACUGAGCUCAACGACCUCAGUCUGGAGUUACAUUAGUCAAUCUAAGCCUAAGUCUACAGUAUGAAGGUACAUUUCGCUUCAUGACAUACAGACAAAAUCAGAGUUGAAAAAAUAUAGCAAUACAAGCAAUUCUAAUGAGUUUAGAACGCAAACCUUUAUUCGUGCUGUAAAGGGGAAGAAAAGUGUUAGUAGUUACACACAUGACGCGACAAGGACUGGUUCUUACCAUACAGAGCAACAUGAAAGAUUCCUUUCCACCUGUUUUUACAGUUUCAAUUUCACAACAGCUUACCGGAACAUAUUUCCCCAUACACGCAUGACUAAUGCUCUUUAAAUUCCAAUGACAGUAACUGUAUCACAUGCCCAAGUUACAGGAUAGAGUCACUGGUAUUACUUUAUCACAAAGGAUUGCUACUUCCCUAAAUUUUUACAAACACCAUAAUCCAGGAAAUAACUCCCCACCCCCAGUUUCACUCUUUAUUUCCCUACCUGAUUUUGGUUAAGUUUCCCCUCUAGUACUCCUUCACUUAACACAAACAUUCAAACUGAAGAUGGUGUGAACUAUUAACUGGAACCUUAGCAAGGGUACAUAGAUUGUUUGCUACCAAAUAUUACAGUAAUUAGAGAGUGAUCACGAUUUAAGUUCUCCUUGUUACAAUGAGGAUGAAAAGAAAAAGCUUUGGCUAUUACUAAUUACUCAUCACAAAGAAAAGAUAAGAUGUUUAUAGAGCAAGAAGUAACAUACAAAAUUCCUUUAGAAAUCAUUGUUUUCACUUUGCUCAAACUUUCAACUGCAAAAUACCAAGUGAACAAAAAUGUUACAAACCCAGAAGAGGGCAUCUAAAUGCGUACCAAAAUCUCAAAAUACUUUAAAGCCCACAAUUUGGGUAAGUAUUUUCUGAAACUAGUCCCUGAACAUUGCACACCUUCAGAUAAACCACUUAAGAAAUUUGCAAAGGAGUGAAAGAUGUUAAUCUGCUGAUGCAAGUCCCUGACACCCAUCUUUCAAGAGACUGAGGUUUCAGUUACCUUUUCAGCCUUCCCCUUCUUAUAGCAAAGCAAAACAAUUUUGCUUUUUGCCUUCCCCACCCUUAGCAGUUUGAAGCACUGUAGAAACUUCAAGUAACAAUUUAACUAUCAUUAACAAUGUACUAUUAACUAGCAUUCUCUUUGCCUUUGAGCUCUAUCCCCUAGAGUUCUGCCUACUGAUCUUUUCUCCAGAGAAUUCCCUUCCACCCACUUUCCCUACCCCUCCCACCCUCCGCCAGCCACACCUAAUCACAGCCUUCUCUUCAGCUCACCCUCCCCAGGGCCAGGCUGUUUCCCACCCCUCAACCCCUCACCUCAGGGCCCUCCCCUUUGAACACAAAGAUUCCUCUGAAAUCUAAUCAACUAAGUUAAGUUAAGAAGCAUAUAGAGCAAGAUGAACAGAUUACUAUCGGUACCCUGACUAUUCCCUUCUGGUAACAAAAGUGACCAAACUAAAUCUGCCAUUUUUAUCACAAUCUGGAUAUGACCAGCACCCUCCCACCUAGCACAGCACAAUGACACCCCACCCCCACCCCCACUUCGCCAGUUGGCUUCAUUUAAGUCAGUUGGCUUCAUUUAAGUAUUUGCCUAAUGUAUUUCAAUCUGGAACGCUUUCCCACACACAUUAUAUAUCACACUAAGAACUCCUCCGACAAAAGCACAGGCAGGCAGGUGGGUAGAUGAGGGUCACUGGGAUCCAUGUGCAAGCUCCAUCUACAAGGCAUCAUCUGAGUUGUGGCAUCAGCGUUAAAAUGUUCUACAGCUUAAGAGUCUUCUGGAAACAAGGUUCGUGGCACACUAGUAUGACAGGAGACUCAAUUUAGAAGAUGGCAGCAUCUGAAACCUCCAACCCAGGAAACGGCCUGCUGACAUUCACGUGCCCAGAGAUCGUUGCUCCCGGAUCAAACACUCAAAGCAACACAUCUGCUGACGGCCCCGGAUCCAUCUGCUUUGGCCUUUUAAAGACUGCCCCUCAUAAGCUCAUGAAAACCUUAAAGGAUGGCCUCCUGAAUACAGGGGUUCCUGAGCAAGGCCUGGAAACAUGCCACUGGAGAACUUCCUCCUCCUAAGCCUCUGGAAAUUCACUCUGCAGACAGCAAUUUAGACGGGUUCUUUCCUCCAGGGUCUCCCCUCCUGCACCGCUACGACUCACACUGGCCAGGGGCUCCAUUUCUCCUGGUGCCAUCAGAUCGCCAUGAUGAACACUACAGUAACAAACCACCGUCCAUGAGGCAUUUUCGUAGCUUUUAGAUGGUACCGUCGCUGCGGGCCCACCCAAGGGUGCACAUUCAAUCCCCACCCUCUCCACUGGCAAGCAACACCACCCCGCCCACCCAGAGUCUCAGCAGGGGCUGCCUCUCCUCUUCACGGUUACCAAGAUACCGACUCCAAUGGGAACAACUUUCCCGGCUUACCAGAUUACCAGAAGCAAUGUUUUAAGUGAAUGGGUAACCUCGAGAGAGUGAAGGGGAGGAGAGGGGGCAGAGUGAGCUCACAGAACAGGUUAGCGAGGAACCUAGAGGAAAAGUCCAAAGGGGAGCACUGCCACCUGGAAAAUAAAGUGAGGGUCAAUUUUGUUCGCCUACAGCCCCCGCCUGCCAAACAUACCAGUAACCGCUUGGACCGGCACCUUACCUCCUCACUCACUCCCUAGGACCACCCUCACACCCAGACCUGGGUUUCACCAGGCUGGGCCUGGCUGGACCCUGUCCCGGGCCGAGCCAGACUUACAUACCGCCCUGGGCCAAAGCUGUCAGCCCCGCGAAGCUAAGUGCAGCUUCCACCACACGAGGCCUCAUCCCCAGGCGGGCUCACAACCCUUUGUCUGGAAAAAAAGGGACUGCUGGUAUUUACAAGUUCAAGUCCUCCCCUCCCUGCCCACCUGCCACCCUGCACCCCACUGCCUGCCUUCCAGCUCCUUUUCAAAGCAUCGACUGACCAACUCCGCCUCCAGCAAGGGAGGCAAGACCCUCCACCUCCACCUCUCCGUCUCUGCUUUCCUCCUCCUACACAAACCCGGGCACCGGGGGCCCGCUCAGCCUACGCAGGAGCGGCGCCCACCCAAAGUUCAAGUUCCCCUGCUCCAGCAGACAGCUGCGACAGCCAGGCCUGGGGUGUCGUCUUCCCCUUGGGCUACUGCGGGCCCUUUCAACACAGCUCUCCCCAGCACAAUUUCCCCAAGAUCUAGUCCCCCCGUUAACCUUCCUUCUCUUGGCACCCCAAGUUCCCCAGCCUCAUCUAACGCUGCCAUAUCUCUCAUCUAUCUCCUAAGACCCUAAACUAUCCAACUCCGCCCUCCACAACUAAGCCCAAGCCCCUACUCCUCCCUGUGGCUAACUCCUACUGGACAGGCCACAACUUUUGCUUUUAUAGCCCUGGGCCGCGUCACUGGGGCACUGCUCAACGGGACGAUUCCUCCACUGCCACUGGAAAAAAAGUCCCUCCCCAACCCGGGCCAAGGAGACGACUCCGGGCGGCUCCCAGUCUCCCGGGUGUCUAGGUCUCGAAUUCCCCAGUUAUCCCCACUCCUCUAAGCAAGGGCUUCCUGAGAUCGACGGCAGAUCUCAAGGUCACCUUGAGGGGAGGCGGAUUCCAACGGGGACGAGGGUGGGGAGAGAAAUCCCCUUCUCAGCCUGUGAUGGAGCCGAGGGUUUAGAGGCUUCCCGUUCCUUGAGGGGAGGUGUGGGUGGGGAGUGGAUGAGGCGGGUUGGGGCUGUUCUCAGGAAGCG